rnacentral:rRNA from 1 species
GACGAACGCUGGCGGCGUGCUUAACACAUGCAAGUCGAACGGAAAGGCCCUGCUUUUGUGGGGUGCUCGAGUGGCGAACGGGUGAGUAACACGUGAGUAACCUGCCCUUUACUUUGGGAUAACUUCAGGAAACUGGUGCUAAUACCUGAUAGGAGCUCCUGCUGCAUGGUGGGGGUUGGAAAGUUUCGGCGGUUGGGGAUGGACUCGCGGCUUAUCAGCUUGUUGGUGGGGUAGUGGCUUACCAAGGCUUUGACGGGUAGCCGGCCUGAGAGGGUGACCGGCCACAUUGGGACUGAGAGACGGCGCAGACGCCUACGGGAGGCAGCAGUGGGGAAUAUUGCACAAUGGGCGGAAGCCUGAUGAAGCAACGCCGCGUGAGGGAUGAAGGCCUUCGGGUGGUAAACCGCUUUCGCCUGUGACGAAGCGGGAGUGACGGUAAUGGGUAAAGAAGCACCGGCUAACUACGUG